rnacentral:lncRNA from 1 species
UUCCUUUCCCCUUCCUACGGUGAGCUAGACAUGGUCGUCAUAACUUUUUCUGUUCUGACGGCCAACCAUCGGCCGGCGACCACCUGUGUCGGCGCUGCCUCGGAUCCCCACCGUAGCAUCUCCCGACCGGGGAGCAGAUCCCAUCCUGGUCACCCCCCGUGCUACUGCAGGUCGACUAUGCCGUCGCGCGAAGUUCACUGGUCAGAGUUCUAGUCUUGUCGCUGGUGCGUCACUUUGGUUAGUCUCCAACACCUCCCUGCAUCUCCUCCCUUGUGCGUUGCCACGCCAACCACGGCCGCCCCCGCACGCAAUCCUCCUUGGCCACAAAUGAAAAUCAGAGCUACCCUGACUCUGCGGCCAUGCCAGCACCGUUCAAGGUUCUCGGCCCAGCUCCUCACUGAUGCAGAGCUUUGAGUUCAGGCCCUUGCACCAAAUAAAUGUCGUGCAUGCUCCUCCAAAUAUUCCGACGGCAAGUGUUCUUCAUAUUCUGGACUUGUGCCCCAGCUUCUUCUGGACUUCUAUUGAUUCAUACCUAAAUGAAUUUGCACUAUGAUUUUUCAACAGCUUUUGGGUGAAAUAAUGCUUCCUGUUCACAUCAACAAAUGCUCCCUGGAGGACUUCUCCAUCGACUUGCAGGUUCAGUAAUGGACAAGGAAGCUGCCCUUGACCAUCUCUUGUCCAGACUGCAUGCAGCGUACAGAUACACCUCCCCCGCCCGGCAGCUAUGGCGUGUGGCUGCCUAGCACAUCGACACCCCAAGGUACAUUUUCUCGCCAUCUCGCUCACAUGUUGUUCCCUGUUACUAUACUAUGUUCAGUUAUGUAUUGUUUUCUAUGUUAUUUUCUUGUCUGAAGUUCAGAAAUACUUGGAGGUGCAAAAAAGUAGUGAUAUGUUGGUUCAUUUCAAAGGUCCUUCAAAAAAUGGAAAACAUGAGUUUUCUUCUCCAAAAUGAAUCAACAUCGUGGAGUGCUAAUUCCUCUUGGGUGCUUCUAUUGAUCCUUGUGUUUCAGGCACCACCAUGAUGAACCAG